rnacentral:rRNA from 1 species
AGGACGAACGCUGGCGGCGUGCUUCACACAUGCAAGUCGAACGGGGCUCAUUCGGUGGUAACACCGGAGAAGGCCUAGUGGCGAACGGGUGCGUAACACGUGAAGAACCUGCCCCGAAGACUGGGAUAACAGCGGGAAACCGCUGCUAAUACCGGAUGACCCCACCAGGCCGCAUGGCCAGGUGAGGAAAUGGGCCUACCGCUUCGGGAGGGCUUCGCGGCCUAUCAGCUUGUUGGUGGGGUAACGGCCUACCAAGGCUACGACGGGUAGCUGGUCUGAGAGGACGACCAGCCACACUGGGACUGAGACACGGCCCAGACUCCUACGGGAGGCAGCAGUGGGGGAAUCUUGCGCAAUGGGCGAAAGCCUGACGCAGCAACGCCGCGUGAGGGAUGAAGGUCUUCGGGUUGUAAACCUCUUUCGAGCAGGGACGAUUGUGACGGUACCUGCAGAGAAGCUCCGGCCAACUACGCGCCAGCAGCCGCGGU